rnacentral:rRNA from 1 species
AUUGAACGCUGGCGGCAGGCCUAACACAUGCAAGCCGAACGGUAACAGGAAGAAGCUUGCUUCUUUGCUGACGAGUGGCGGACGGGUGAGUAAUGUCUGGGAAACUGCCUGAUGGAGGGGGAUAACUACUGGAAACGGUAGCUAAUACCGCAUAACGUCGCAAGACCAAAGAGGGGGACCUUCGGGCCUCUUGCCAUCGGAUGUGCCCAGAUGGGAUUAGCUAGUAGGUGGGGUAACGGCUCACCUAGGCGACGAUCCCUAGCUGGUCUGAGAGGAUGACCAGCCACACUGGAACUGAGACACGGUCCAGACUCCUACGGGAGGCAGCAGUGGGGAAUAUUGCACAAUGGGCGCAAGCCUGAUGCAGCCAUGCCGCGUGUAUGAAGAAGGCCUUCGGGUUGUAAAGUACUUUCAGCGGGGAGGAAGGGAGUAAAGUUAAUACCUUUGCUCAUUGACGUUACCCGCAGAAGAAGCACCGGCUAACUCCGUG